ACUCAAAGGAAUUGACGGGGAGGCGCACAAGCAGUGGAGCAUGUGGUUUAAUUCGAGACGAAGCGAAGAACCUCACCCAGGUUUGACAUGUACUUGCUAAUCCUAUGAAAGUAGGACUCCUUCGAGGGUAGUACACAGAUGCUGCAUGGCUGUCGUCAGCUCGUGGCGUGAGCUGUACCGUUAAGUCGGGUAACGAGCGCAACCCGCACCGUAUGUUAAAUAAUUCAUGCGGAACUGCCCCAUUUUAUGGGGAGGAAGGCGCGGAUGACGUCAAGUCAGCACGGCUCUUACACCUGGGGCUACACACAUCCUACAAUGGCGAAUAACAACGAGUUGCGAGCUGGUAACAGUAAGCUAACCUCUAAAAUUUCGCCCCAGUUCAGAUCGAGGUCUGCAAUUCGACCUCGUGAAGUUGGAAUUGCUAGUAAUCGCGAAUCAGCAGGUCGCGGUGAAUACGUUCUCGCCUCUUGUACACACCGCCCGU
rnacentral:rRNA from 1 species